rnacentral:tRNA from 1 species
GACUCAGUAGCUCAGCUGGUAGAGCAACAGACUCUUAAUCUGUGGGUCCAGGGUUCGAUCCCCUGCUGAGUCA